rnacentral:lncRNA from 1 species
AAAUAUUAAAAGUCAUCACAAAUAACUCAUUUACAUAAUCAAUUCCAAGCCAAAAUAAACAUAGUAAACUAACUAGUUUAUUAACAACACUAACUAAACUUCAAAAAUUCAAACUUUAACUAACAAUUAAAAAUAAUAACAUUACAAAAAUUAAAUAAGAAACAUACCCGGAAAUACGAAUUCCACAGACUGAAUACGCACUUCCACGCCAAAAUUUAACUAAGGAGAUCUUUAUAAAAAGUCCUCCCACAACAAAGCCUUUCUCAAAAAUUGGAGGCCUU